CCUGCAUCGCGGCAGAACGGAAGUUGUCUGACGUCACGUGAAAAGGGCCUAUUGCAAUAGUAGAGGGCCGCAUCCGUCUAGAACUUCAUGUGAUUUAAAUCGGAGAGGACGAAGAAAAGAAGGCGACCAUGUUGAAUUAGCAAGAACAAACACAAUAGAGACGUUUUAUUUUGAGUAAAUUUAAUCUAAGGUAAAAUAGGUAAUUGAUCUGCCGCAAACAUUUGUGAUAAAUAACAUCAGAGGGAGAGAAAGGUGACACAGGCUUGAGUUGUUGCAACGGAAAGGAGCUGAAUACCACCCCACUCACACACAAAGCUACACACUUUGACAGAAUACCUGUGGUGUCAAAGAGAGAGGAGGGAGACCCAGCUGAAACAAAGGGGACAGACAGAGGAGCCCAAGGGGAACUUAAAGCUGGUUUACUUUUUGGACUACAGUUACCCUUUGUUUUAUUUUUAAACAUCAGGAAACUACUUUUACACGUGGAUGGACAUUUACACACAGAGUGGAAAACAAAUAUUGAACAAUAAGGACCAUAUUAUUUUGGAGAAAUAUUUGUACAAAUGUUUGAAAAACCAUUUGCAAGGACAUCGAUGUUGCGCAAUUCAAAGGGACUCGACGCAAAACAAGGAAAUGUUGUUUAAUUAAAUAAAGCGAUGUAACUUUUGAACAAA